AGAGUUUGAUCAUGGCUCAGAAUCAACGCUGGCGGCGUGCCUAACACAUGCAAGUCGAACGCGAAAGGGGAGCAAUCCCUGAGUAGAGUGGCAAACGGGUGAGUAACACGUGGGUGACCUGCCUCAGAGUGGGGGAUAACGUCCCGAAAGGGACGCUAAUACCGCAUAACAUCCUGCCUUUGGAAAGGCGGAGAUCAAAGCCGGGGAUCGCAAGACCUGGCGCUUGGAGAGGGGCCCGCGUCUGAUUAGCUAGUUGGUAGGGUAAUGGCCUACCAAGGCGACGAUCAGUAUCCGGCCUGAGAGGGCGGACGGACACACUGGGACUGAGACACGGCCCAGACUCCUACGGGAGGCAGCAGUGGGGAAUUGUUCGCAAUGGGCGCAAGCCUGACGACGCAACGCCGCGUGGAGGAUGAAGAUCUUCGGGUCGUAAACUCCUGUCGAGCGGGACGAACACUUGUCCGGUUAACACCUGGACAGGCUGACGGUACCGCUAAAGGAAGCCCCGGCUAACUCCGUGCCAGCCGCCGCGGUAAUAC
rnacentral:rRNA from 1 species